rnacentral:rRNA from 1 species
AAUAGAUACCCGGGUAGUCCACGCCGUAAACGAUGAGUGCUAAGUGUUAGGGGGUUUCCGCCCCUUAGUGCUGCAGCUAACGCAUUAAGCACUCCGCCUGGGGAGUACGGCCGCAAGGCUGAAACUCAAAGGAAUUGACGGGGGCCCGCACAAGCGGUGGAGCAUGUGGUUUAAUUCGAAGCAACGCGAAGAACCUUACCAGGUCUUGACAUCUCCUGACCGCCCUGGAGACAGGGUCUUCCCUUCGGGGACAGGAUGACAGGUGGUGCAUGGUUGUCGUCAGCUCGUGUCGUGAGAUGUUGGGUUAAGUCCCGCAACGAGCGCAACCCUUGUCCUUAGUUGCCAGCAUUCAGCUGGGCACUCUAAGGAGACUGCCGGCUAAAAGUCGGAGGAAGGUGGGGAUGACGUCAAAUCAUCAUGCCCCUUAUGACCUGGGCUACACACGUGCUACAAUGGGCGGUACAGAGGGUCGCGAACCCGCGAGGGGGAGCCAAUCCCAAAAAACCGCUCUCAGUUCGGAUUGCAGG